UUUUUUUUAUACACAAUAUUUAACUUAGCAAUUAGUAAUCCAAAUUUGGGUGUUUUGGAAACUCUACAAAUGAAAGAAAAGAAAAGGAAAUACAGAACAUUUCCAGGAAAAAGCCUAGGAACUAAAUCAGGAAAAAUGAAGAUUCAAGGCCAUUAUACAAAAUCAACAGAAGUAAAUUAUCUAUGAUUUAAAUUAGCAAACCCAAAAUGGAAAAACUUGUUAACUUGAUGAGAAGCUUCAUCUUUCCUCG
rnacentral:misc_RNA from 1 species